GAGGCCCGGAGAGGUUAUGUAAUUUGCCCAAGGUCGCACAUAACUAAGAAAGUGGUGAACAUGAUCUUCAUACCUGGCAUCUGGCUCCUAAGUCUGCACAUUUAACUGUCAACUAGAAUUCCUGGUGCCCAGGAGUGAUGUCAAGGCUGAACAGAAGAACGAAUACAUUAGCUCAGAGGAAUGAGGAGGAGGAAGAGGGUUCUAGAGAGAGGGACUAUCACGCACAAAGACCAGGAGAGAAAGCAAGAGCACACAGUGACUUUGUCCCAUUAGAGCACUGCUAUAGAGAGCCAGAGGGAAGCAUGCUCAUCUUCUAGGACAUACAAAGCGAGUGCUGGCUUGAGCCCUUUUGGCUGAAAGAGGGAAAAGGUAGUUUCUCUUCAGAGGCCUGGAGGUGCAUUUCUAUCCCAGAUGAGUAGAGAAGCGAGGGCAAGGGGCCUGGAACUAGGGAGAGAGACCCAGUGUGUGCUGAACAAGAUAAGGCACCAGUGCCUGGCUGUGGCUGCCAGGGACUCCUCCCCAAUUUGGCCAGCAGCAGCCAGGGAGUCCUUAUGGAAAUUAUGCUGAAUUAAUUUUUUUAAAUUUUCUUUAAAAAAACCAAAAGAGGAUUGUCUAACACCAAUGCUAUAAAACUCUUUGGAACCAGGAGUCUUUCAACGUUGAUAUCAGGAUAGUCUGUUGAAUCUAGCCUCAGUUGUAACGUGACUGAGAAAGAGACAUUACUUGUAUAGAAUAUGCAAGAAUGUAAAUUGCCUAACAUACAGUAGCAGUUCAUUAAAAGAACUACUUUUUAGUAGGGAGGUAAGGAAAGUAGGGGGAAGGAGGUGAAGGAAGGAAGGAAGACCAUAGGGAGCCAGGUCUGUCCUGCAUUGUGGAGGUUUCACUUCUUAGGACUCCAGGUGUCCCAGAGUCAUUUGAUCUGUCAGCAGUUCUCAGCGGGUGCACUGAAAUCUCUGGGGCCAUUUUUGGUUAUCAUACUGAUCAGGAGUAUUACUGAUAUGAGCAUGCACGGGCCACUGUGCAGAGUGGGAUUCUUAACAAGAAUUGCUUCACAUUACAAACAUCCUGCUGGACAUUCAUGAAGGUGGAAAAAACUAUUUAUGAUUAUCUGAGCCUAGACUGUAACUUGGUUUUACAUAUCAAACAAAUACUUUUCUGCAUAUUAAUAUACUUACAUUUCCCAGGAUCACAACUGAGUAAAUAAAAAAGUUCUCCAGGCUGGGCAACAGACUGAGACCCUGUCCAAAAAAAAAAAAAGAUUCUAAUUGUUUGUUUGAAAUUUUUACCAAGAGUUGCUUACCACUUUCAGAAAAAUCAUGACUGACAGCAGUCAGCCAUGGUAUCUGAGUUGUCAAGACAACACAACUGUAUCAGUACGCAUUUGGAGCUGUCAUAUUCAAGGUGAUUCUAUGUAUAGGUACAAGCAUCUAACUACUUCAUUAUUUCUUUUAUGUAGCUAUGCCUGAGAAUUUACUUUUUAUUUUUUUUUAGACAGGGUCUCACUCUGUCACCCAGGCUGGAGUGCAGUGGAAUGAUCAUGGCUCACUGCAGCCUCAACCUCCAUGGCUUAAGCAAUCUUCCUGCCUCAGCCUCCUCAGUAGCUGGGACUACAGGUGUGUGCCACCAUGCCCAGAUAACUUUUUAUUUUUUCAUUUUUUUUUUUUUUUUUGAGACGGAGUCUCCCUCUGUUGCCCAGGCUGGAGUGCAGUGGCAUGAUCUCAGCUUACUGCAAGAUCCACCUCCCAGGUUCAAGCAAUUUUCCCGCCUCAGCCUCCUGAGUAGCUGGGACCCAGGUGGGUGCCACCACAGCUGACUAAUUUUUCUAUCUUGUACUAAUUUCGUAUUUUUAGUAGAGAUGGGGUUUCACCAUGUUGGCCAGGAUGGCGAGUGAUCCACUUGCCUCAGCCUCCCAAAGUGCUGUGAUUACAGGUGUAAGCCACUGCGCCCCGCCCCAGUUAACGUUUUAAAAAUUUUCUGUAGAGACGGGUUUCUCCAUGUUGGCCAGGCUCAUCCUAAACUCCUGACCUCAAGUGUUCUGCCCGCCUCAGCCUCCCAAAGUGCCGGGAUUACAGGUGCGAGCCACCAUGCCCAGCCAGCACUUAUAUAUGGAAAUGUAUUCGUAUUUUUCCUUUGUCAUUUAUAUUGGAUCAUUAUAUUUUCUUUGAAAUUGUGUGAAUUAUCUAUGAAUUUCACCUCAGCAUUAUAAAAGAGGUAUUAUAAAAUAUUAGUUAUGCAAAGGGUAAUAGAUCUGACAAGAGUUUAGAACCACUGGUUUUUGUUAAGAAUCUAGGCUGGGUCUGUGGUUUUACACCUUCUUCUUUUCUGCUGCAACUGACACUCAAAUGGUGGUGGCAGUUUCUAUUUUUAGUUGCAAACUGAAGGUUACUUCCUUAUUUAACUUAUAAUAACUUCUAAACAAAGCACCUUCCUUAAAUUGAACUACUCAAAUAACUCUGCAAUAUAACAUUAUCCCACUGGCUAUGCGUACUUAGACCACAGCCUAUGGCUUCAAUAAUGGGUUUUCCAGAAACUGCCUCAGGACCAUUUGUCCUCAGAAGCUCUCUCCCCAGUUGGCUUUAGAGACACACACUGUUCCCAGAUGCAGAAGGCUGCAAACUCCCCCUAACAAGACAGCCUCGAUGCCCCCUGUCAACUCGUGAGAUGCAGACUAACCAGUAUCUUGAGUGUCGACAACACACCAGGCACAUUGAGAUUUGUUAUUUCCUUACUGGUCUAAGAAAAUCUUGUAGUCAUACCCCCAGUUUAAUUACCAGAUUUUCUGCCUGUGGAUAAUGGCAAAGAACUUCUGAACAAAGGAUAACUUAAUUUACUCAACCUACUGUUUUUUUUUAAGAAAUGAAAUGACCUUUAUUCAGUACCAAACAUAUUUCCCCUAAAAAUAUGUAUUUGAGUCUAAAAAGGCCUUUCCAAUUUGUACUUUUCCUCCAAGAUGCCAAGCUACUUUUUUUUUUUUUUUUUAAACAGAGUUCCACUCUUGUUGCCCAGGCUGGA
rnacentral:lncRNA from 10 species